rnacentral:rRNA from 1 species
GUGAGGAAUAUUGCGCAAUGGAGGCAACUCUGACGCAGCCAUGCCGCGUGCAGGAAGAAGGCGCUACGCGUUGUAAACUGCUUUUAACCGGGAAGAAACCCCAGGACGUGUCCUGGGUUGACGGUACCGGAGGAAUAAGCACCGGCUAACUUCGUGCCAGCAGCCGCGGUAAUACGAAGGGUGCAAGCGUUAUCCGGUUUCAUUGGGCUUAAAGGGUGCGUAGGCGGAGUGUUAAGUCAGUGGUGAAAUCCUGCAGCUUAACUGUAGACUUGCCAUUGAUACUGGCGCUCUUGAGUGCGCUGGAAGUGGGCGGAAUGUGCCGUGUAGCGGUGAAAUGCUUAGAUAUGGCACAGAACACCAAUUGCGAAGGCAGCUCACUAAGGCGAUACUGACGCUGAGGCACGAAAGCGUGGGGAUCGAACAGGAUUAGAAACCCCGGUAGUCC